rnacentral:rRNA from 1 species
GUGCCAGCAGCCGCGGUAAUACGGAGGAUGCAAGCGUUAUCCGGAAUGAUUGGGCGUAAAGGGUCCGCAGGUGGCACUGUAAGUCUGCUGUCAAAGAAUGAGGCUUAACCUUAUCAAGGCAGUGGAAACUACAGAGCUAGAGUACGGUCGGGGUAGAAGGAAUUCCUGGUGUAGCGGUGAAAUGCGUAGAGAUCAGGAAGAACACCGGUGGCGAAAGCGUUCUGCUAGACCUGUACUGACACUGAGGGACGAAAGCUAGGGGAGCGAAUGGGAUUAGAUACCCGCGUAGUCC